rnacentral:rRNA from 1 species
UACAGAGGUCUCAAGCGUUGUUCGGAUUCAUUGGGCGUAAAGGGUGCGUAGGUGGUGGGGUAAGUCGGAUGUGAAAUCCCGGGGCUCAACCCCGGAACUGCAUUCGAUACUGCCUUGCUCGAGUACUGGAGAGGAGACUGGAAUUCAUGGUGUAGCAGUGAAAUGCGUAGAGAUCAUGAGGAAGACCAGUGGCGAAGGCGGGUCUCUGGACAGUUCCUGACACUGAGACACGAAGGCCAGGGGAGCAAACGGG